AAUUCUUGUAAACAACUUGUGCAAUUGCUUUUAAAGUAUUACAGAGCUAUGCCAAUAUUAAAUUGCUAUUUCCUUAUUAAAAUGUUGCUAAACCUAUAAAAACCAAUAAUAAUAAUUGGAUUAUAUUGAUCCUAAUGUUGUAUAUUUGGUUCAGAUUUUUAUCUCUGAAAUCAGUUUAAAGAAAUGAUUAUUGUUCAUUCAAGUAAUCUGCCAGGAAAAGACACAACACUAAUAUUUCAGCAUGCAUGAAUAUUGAGGUAGCUAUAUGGCAGUAUAUGAAUUUUAAGAUCCAUAUUAACAAUUAAAUGUUUACAAAAAUAUGACAAUAAUAACAUUACCUUUGACAGGAAAAGGUAUACAACUGAUUUGAAAAGGGUUACUUAUGACUGCAUAAUUAUGCAGAUAUUCAAAGAAAGCUGUAGAUUUGUGCUCAUAUCUAUUGUGAUGGUAAUUAUCACAAGAGACUAUUAGGCUAUGCAGCUCUAAUAGUGACUGAUAUAAAAAAAAUCAAAGAAUAUGUAGAAUUGCUAUAUUGCCUUUCUACUUCAGUGAGGAAAUAACAGGUCUUUGGUACUCCCUGAACCUGGUGGUUUUCUUGUAGAUGUUUCAUUAUUCAAAUUAGGUAACAUCAUCAAUGCUGCCAAUAGUAAUACUAGCACUGAUGAAAACAUCUUACCAAGUUUUGUCAAUA